AAACUCCUACGGGAGGCAGCAGUGGGGAAUAUUGCACAAUGGGGGAAACCCUGAUGCAGCGACGCCGCGUGAGCGAAGAAGUAUUUCGGUAUGUAAAGCUCUAUCAGCAGGGAAGAAGAAAUGACGGUACCUGACUAAGAAGCACCGGCUAAAUACGUGC
rnacentral:rRNA from 1 species